rnacentral:rRNA from 1 species
GAGACAGUUUGGUCCCUAUCUUCCGUGGGCGUUGGAUAUUUGAGGAGAUCUGUUCCUAGUACGAGAGGACCGGAAUGGACGAACCACUGGUGUUCCUGUUGUCGCGCCAGCGGCAUAGCAGGGUAGCUAAGUUCGGUACGGAUAACCGCUGAAAGCAUCUAAGCGGGAAGCCAACUUCAAGAUGAGAUAUCCCCUGACGUUAAGUCAGCUAAAGACCCCUUGGAGACUACAAGGUUGAUAGGCCGGGUGUGUAAGUGCAGUAAUGCAUGGAGCUUACCGGUACUAAUCGGUCGUGAGGCUUAGCCA